UAAGGAAUAUUGGGCAAUGGACGCAAGUCUGACCCAGCCAUGCCGCGUGAAGGAUGAAUGUCCUAUGGAUUGUAAACUUCUUUUAUGCAGGAAAAAUAUCCUGGUCGUGAACCGGGAUUGAUGGUACUGUAUGAAUAAGCAUCGGCUACCUCCGUGCCAGCAGCCGCGGUAAUUCGGAGGAUGCAAGCGUUAUCCGGAUUCAUUGGGUUUACAGGGUGCGCAGGCGGAAUGCUAAGUCAGUGGUGAAAUCUCCCGGCUUAACCGGGAAACUGCCAUUGAUACUGUC
rnacentral:rRNA from 1 species